rfam:Roseburia sp. 831b contig000002, whole genome shotgun sequence.
AAGUUGGAUAGAGGUUGCGUGAUUUAAGAGUACCGAUUUGGAUGUGCCAGACACAGACGAAGAUGAGGAAAAGGAAAGAACGCCGAAAGCAGACGGGAACUGGUAACCGGAGGCUUGGGCAUAAGGUUAAGAGCUUUAUGACUGUCAUCGAUGAAUCUGUUCAUUUUGGAAUGAAUGGAACAGGAUGGGGCGCUAUCGAAUUC